UAAAACCAGCACCUCAAGUGGUCAGGAUGAUUAUUGGGCCUAAGGCAUCCGUAGCCGGCUUUGUUAGUUUUCGGUUAAAUCCAUGUGCUCAACACAUGGGCUGCCGAAAAUACUGCAUGGCUAGGGAGUGGAGAGGUAGACGGUACUCGGGAGGAAGUGGUAAAAUGCUUUGAUCUUUCGAUGACCACCUGUGGCGAAGGCGGUCUACCAGAACACGUCCGACGGUGAGGGAUGAAAGCUGGGGGAGCAAACCGGAUUAGAUACCCGGGUAGUCCCAGCCGUAAACUAUGCAAACUCAGUGAUGCGUUGGCUUGUGGCCAAUGCAGUGUUGCAGGGAAGCCGUUAAGUUUGCCGCCUGGGAAGUACGUACGCAAGUAUG
rnacentral:rRNA from 2 species